rnacentral:rRNA from 1 species
AGAGUUUGAUCCUGGCUCAGGAUGAACGCUAGCGGCAGGCUUAAUACAUGCAAGUCGUGGGGCAGCGCAGGUAGCAAUACUGGGCGGCGACCGGCAAACGGGUGCGGAACACGUACACAACCUUCCUUCAAGUGGGGAAUAGCCCAGAGAAAUUUGGAUUAAUACCCCGUAACAUAACGAUGUGGCAUCACAUUGUUAUUAUAGCUUCGGCGCUUGUUGAUGGGUGUGCGGCUGAUUAGAUAGUUGGCGGGGUAACGGCCCACCAAGUCUACGAUCAGUAGCUGAUGUGAGAGCAUGAUCAGCCACACGGGCACUGAGACACGGGCCCGACUCCUACGGGAGGCAGCAGUAAGGAAUAUUGGUCAAUGGACGAAAGUCUGAACCAGCCAUGCCGCGUGAAGGAUUAAGGUCCUCUGGAUUGUAAACUUCUUUUAUCUGGGACGAAAAAAGGCGAUUCUUCGUCACUUGACGGUACCAGAUGAAUAAGCACCGGCUAACUCCGUGCCAGCAGCCGCGGUAAUACGGAGGGUGCAAGCGUUAUCCGGAUUCACUGAGUUUAAAGGGUGCGUAGGCGGGCAGGUAAGUCAGUGGUGAAAUCCUAGAG